ACAGUGUCAGGUGGGCAGUUUGACUGGGGCGGUCGCCUCCUAAAGUGUAACGGAGGCGCCCAAAGGUUCCCUCAGAAUGGUUGGAAAUCAUUCGUAGAGUGCAAAGGCAUAAGGGAGCUUGACUGCGAGACCUACAAGUCGAGCAGGGACGAAAGUCGGGCUUAGUGAUCCGGUGGUUCCGCAUGGAAGGGCCAUCGCUCAACGGAUAAAAGCUACCCCGGGGAUAACAGGCUUAUCUCCCCCAAGAGUCCACAUCGACGGGGAGGUUUGGCACCUCGAUGUCGGCUCAUCGCAUCCUGGGGCUGUAGUCGGUCCCAAGGGUUGGGCUGUUCGCCCAUUAAAGCGGUACGCGAGCUGGGUUCAGAACGUCGUGAGACAGUUCGGUCCCUAUCCGUCGUGGGCGUAGGAAAUUUGAGAGGAGCUGUCCUUAGUACGAGAGGACCGGGAUGGACGCACCGCUGGUGUACCAGUUGUUCUGCCAAGGGCAUAGCUGGGUAGCUAUGUGCGGAAGGGAUAAGUGCUGAAAGCAUCUAAGCAUGAAGCCCCCCUCAAGAUGAGAUUUCCCAUAGCGUAAGCUAGUAAGAUCCCUGAAAGAUGAUUAGGUUGAUAGGUUCGAGGUGGAAGCAUGGUGACAUGUGGAGCUGACGAAUACUAAUAGAUCGAGGACUUAACCAUAUAA
rnacentral:rRNA from 1 species